GGACGAACGCUGGCGGCAUGCCUAACACAUGCAAGUCGAACGGAGUAAUGACUUCGGUUAUUACUUAGUGGCGAACGGGUGAGUAACACGUGAAUAAUCUGCCCUGUACGAUGGGAUAACAGCUGGAAACGGCUGCUAAUACCGUAUAUGACCACGCCGAGGCAUCUCGGAGGGGUGAAAGCGCUUAAGCGGUACAGGAUGAGUUCGCGUCCAAUUAGCUAGUUGGUGAGGUAACGGCCCACCAAGGCGACGAUUGGUAGCCGACCUGAGAGGGUGAUCGGCCACACUGGAACUGAGACACGGUCCAGACUCCUACGGGAGGCAGCAGUGGGGAAUAUUGGGCAAUGGAGGAAACUCUUACCCAAGCAAUGCCGCGUGAGUGAUGAAGGUCUUCGGAUUGUAAAGCUCUUUGAUUGGGGACGAAUAAAUGACGGUACCCAAGGAACAAGCCCCGGCUAACUAUGUGCCAGCCGCCGC
rnacentral:rRNA from 1 species